AGUGAACGCUGGCGGUAGGCCUAACACAUGCAAGUCGAACGGCAGCACAGUAAGAGCUUGCUCUUGCGGGUGGCGAGUGGCGGACGGGUGAGGAAUACAUCGGAAUCUACUUUUUCGUGGGGGAUAACGUAGGGAAACUUACGCUAAUACCGCAUACGACCUACGGGUGAAAGCAGGGGAUCUUCGGACCUUGCGCGAUUGAAUGAGCCGAUGUCGGAUUAGCUAGUUGGCGGGGUAAAGGCCCACCAAGGCGACGAUCCGUAGCUGGUCUGAGAGGAUGAUCAGCCACACUGGAACUGAGACACGGUCCAGACUCCUACGGGAGGCAGCAGUGGGGAAUAUUGGACAAUGGGCGCAAGCCUGAUCCAGCCAUACCGCGUGGGUGAAGAAGGCUUUCGGGUUGUAAAGCCCUUUUGUUGGGAAAGAAAAGCAGCAGGUUAAUACCCCGCUGUUCUGACGGUACCCAAAGAAUAAGCACCGGCUAACUUCGUG
rnacentral:rRNA from 1 species